rnacentral:rRNA from 1 species
GACAGAGGUGGCAAGCGUUGUUCGGAAUUACUGGGCGUAAAGGGCGCGUAGGCGGCUUGGUAAGUCCCGUGUGAAAUCCCUCGGCUCAACCGAGGAAUGGCACGGGAAACUGCCUGGCUUGAGUUCGGGAGAGGGAAGCGGAAUUCCGGGUGUAGCGGUGAAAUGCGUAGAUAUCCGGAGGAACACCGGUGGCGAAGGCGGCUUCCUGGACCGACACUGACGCUGAGGCGCGAAAGCUAGGGGAGCAAACGGG